CCUACGGGCGGCUGCAGUGGGGAAUAUUGGACAAUGGGGGGAACCCUGAUCCAGCCAUGCCGCGUGUGUGAAGAAGGCCCUCGGGUUGUAAAGCACUUUCAGUGAGGAAGAACGCCUGGUGGUUAAUACCCAUCAGGAAAGACAUCACUCACAGAAGAAGCACCGGCUAACUCCGUGCCAGCAGCCGCGGUAAUACGGAGGGUGCGAGCGUUAAUCGGAAUUACUGGGCGUAAAGCGCGCGUAGGUGGCUUGAUAAGCCGGUUGUGAAAGCCCCGGGCUCAACCUGGGAACGGCAUCCGGAACUGUCAAGCUAGAGUGCAGUAGAGGAAGGUAGAAUUCCCGGUGUAGCGGUGAAAUGCGUAGAGAUCGGGAGGAAUACCAGUGGCGAAGGCGGCCUUCUGGUCUGACACUGACACUGAGGUGCGAAAGCGUGGGUAGCAAACAGGAUUAGAUACCCCAGUAGUC
rnacentral:rRNA from 1 species